GCGUUGGUAGCUCAGUGGUAGAAUUCCUGCCUGCCAUGCAGGAGGCCCGGGUUCCAUUCCUAGCCAAUGCA